GAUAAAGGUUACACGCGCCUAUCG
rnacentral:piRNA from 1 species